CGACAUUCACAAAACGUCGUUAAAUAAGAACAUAUCAAAGACAACUAUUUAACCGAAGAAGCUUUCUUUUAAAUUCUUGACUACUGCUUGCCAAAAGAACAUGUACAUAAUGCUUCGUGAUUGAUAUUCCUUCAGUGAGACCAGACGCUUUCACUAAAUAUAUGUAAACAGAUGAGAAUGAAGAUACCAAAUACUCAUGUGGAUUUGGUGGAUUUAGAGUAAAAAAUAUUCAAGCUUCUCAUGGACAAGUAUCGAUCGGUCGGGACGCGAAACCGUAUGAAACCGAUCGGUUUGGAUUUCUUACUGAUCUGUUUGGCUUUUGUAAAGUUUCAUUUUUCUAAGUUUUAGGGCUUCGACUCAUUAUAUUCUAGCCGCCGAGGUACGACUUUUUGUGCGAUUUUCUAGUGUCUAGGGUUGUUCUUCUUUAUAUAGCUUUGUUUAAUAGAUUCUUUAAAUCUUUUGGAAAUCACAAUUCAAACUCUAUCAUCUCUUUUUAUACUUUGAUUAUGUUUACUUUAGUCAUAUGUGAUCAUAGAUUAUAAUUCAUCUAUCAUCCAUUUGUUAUUCUAUUGUUAUCACAUAAUAAUUUAAAAUAAAUAUGCUAUUAUGAUUGUAUACAAUACACAUUUAUUAAAUAGAAGAUAACAAAAAAAAACUAAACGACGAUGUGGGUACGAGUUGAUAUUAUGUGAUUUUAGAAAGAUAACUUUUGUCUUUACAUUACGUAUUAUAUAAUUGAACCAGGUGUGGAUGCGUUAGAAACAAGUAUCGUCAUUAGAAGACCAUAAUUGUAAUAGCUUAUUGUAAUGGCCACGUAAUUAACUUUUAACACUUCUUCAAAACCACUAUGGUUCGUCCAUCGUGAGUAUAUUUAAAGAAACUUUGGUUUCAUUUUAUUUCAAACACUAUAUAUUUUAAAACAUUGUGAGAAAAUCACAAUAAAAUUUAAUGAAAGAUUUUGGAGUUCCUGGUAAAUGUUUUUAAUGUUUUUAAACUUCUAUUUUUAUUUUUUUAUUUGUUUAUUUGUUCAAAACAAAAAUUUCAUUUCAUUCGUAUACUAUCAGAAUAACGUAUAAAAUGAAAAUCUAUAUUAGAAAUAUCACUAUCUGUGGCUUUUGUUGACGGUACUAUUAGAGGUGGGCAUAAAUUCCGAACCAAAAUUGGGUAUCUCAAUAUUUAAGCUUGAAAACCGAUGACAUUUUUUAUUUUUGAUUUAGGCAACGGAUUCAGUUCAAGUUGGUCAUCGAUCACUUUACAUAUUUUGUUUUCAAAAUGUUUUAGAAGUUUUUUCAAUUCUUUUUUUUUUUUUUUUUUCUCGUACCUAACUUUGGAAAUGAACCAAUAUGAUGAAAUGUACUAAAAUUUUAAAAACAAUUGAUAAAAUUAUUGAAAUAUUUAAUGAUUUUUGCAACAAAAAUUGAACCAAAUGAUAAGUCAUAAUAUUAACAGUUAUUAAGAGUCAUUUUAAAAUAGAGUGUUGAGUCUUUUUGUCGAUAAAAAGUUAGUUUACGAUGCUUUUGAUCAUUGCAGGUUUAUCUGACUUGUUGGAGUAAAAAGAGGAGUUCAAAGAUAAAAUGGAGAAAAUGAGUCAAGAAAAUGAUUGACUUUUUCACUGGUCGGUACCGAAGACAUAUAAAAUCGAUAAGUUUGGGGUUUCUAAAGUUUCAUUUUUCUAUGUUUUAGCGCUAUGACCAUUGCAUAAUAAUAUCCGAUGUAUUUUAGUCGAAUGAGUGCGACACUUUAUGCAAUUUUUCUAGUUUCUAAGUUUGUUCUUCUUUUGAUAGUUUUGUUUAAAAUAUUCUUCAAACUCUUUGCAAAUCUCUUUUCAAAGUCAAUGAUCUCUUUCUCUAUUGUAAUCAUGUUUACCUGGGCCAUGAGUAGUAGUCCUAUCAUUGAAUUUGGGAUUUGAAAGAGGUUGUUUAUUUAAUAUACUUGUUAUUUAAUUUAUGGGAUUGUUUUUACACUAUCAACAAGAGGACAUCUAAACAUGGGUGCUGCCAACUUACAAAUAAGUUUUACAUGUCUAUACACAAAAGUGUAAACAUUCGUUUGGUAAAUGAGAUGAAUAAUUGGCAAAAAUAAGCGAGA
rnacentral:lncRNA from 1 species